CGAAAAUUCCAAACUCUUCAACCCCUUUUCCUAAACCUUCUUUGCAGAUGAGAACGUCACGGACUAAAAAAUCCCAGGAAGAAGAAAGCAAGACUCUGCAACUUUUGCAGAUGAAUUUAUGAGAGAAGGAUCCACGAUUGAUGUUUGUGGUUCGCAAAUUAUUAGAGAAAAUUACUGAGUUUAAAGACAAAUUGGAGAUGCACGAGAAUGUAGAGAAUCCCAGAGGACUGAUCCACAAGUUGUUAUCAGGAGAAUUGUCCAGGACAUAUCCUUUAGAGGAUCCAUGAAGAAGAGUUUAGGGAAGAAGCUUGAAGAGAUGAACUUUUACCCCUAACUGUUGGUUCAUUAGUCAUUGUUGAUCUGCUGUAUUAGUUUUAUUCUGUUUCAGUUGCUGCUGUAUAUGUGAUGUACAAUUGACACUUUGGUAAUAAAACUCCCUUUUAUUUGACCAAAAAAA